rnacentral:rRNA from 1 species
UACAGAGGGUGCGAGCGUUAAUCGGAAUUACUGGGCGUAAAGCGCGCGUAGGCGGCUUUGCAAGUCGGGUGUGAAAUCCCCAGGCUUAACCUGGGAACUGCAUUCGAGACUGCAUUGCUAGAGUAUGGGAGAGGGAAGUGGAAUUUCCGGUGUAGCGGUGAAAUGCGUAGAUAUUCGGAAGAACACCAGUGGCGAAGGCGGCUCACUGGACUGGUAUUGACGCUGAGGUGCGAAAGCGUGGGGAGCAAACAGG